UUAGUCGGUCCAGACGGUGCAGAACCUGUAUCCAAUACCUGGCCGGAUGGGAACAGGAAGAGUCAGACUAGCUGAAUUCAGACAGCGUUGCACAUCUGCCCUCGUGUGCACCGAGGGCUUGUCUGUGCAUAAGACUGUUACAUGGGCUUCCCAGUCCAUAGGAAGAUACACUCUGCUCCCUCACACACUGCUGCCCUGAGUGGUCCUGACCUAAGAUCCAGAGGCACUUAUAGAAGCUUCGGCGAAACCAGACAAACCUUCCUUUCAAUCCAUUUAUCAAAACUGCCCGCAGCUCUGCUUCUGAGCAGGUACAACAAGAAUAAAAUAUUGAGCAGAACUGGCGACCGCGGGACUGGAGGAGGCCAAUAAAUAAGAAGUUACUGAG